GAUGUUAGAGGUAAAGAAAAAAGGAGGUUUAUGAACUUUGUGACUAAGACGAACGUAAAUACCAGGUGCCCACUAAUGAAGUUGGCUAUCAGAAGGCCCGGGAACUUAAAAACAAACAAGAACCAGCCUCUUCCUCAAGGACUUGCAAUCUGCUAGGGAUGCCAUCGGCUCUCCAAUUUGGAUAAAAUCUGAGAUCCUGCCCCUAUUGAAACUUCCCAGAUAUGACUUCGGCAGGGCAAGCUUAAUGAGGACGGAAAAGAAUAAGAUCCGGAAUCACUUCACCUUUCUGAACCUUCGUUUGCAAAUCAAGAUUUGGAGUGAUUAGAUAAUGCUGCCCCUGGGGGAGGGGAGAGAAAAGGCAGAAACGUCUAACAAUCUCAUGAGAGAGGAAGAAUGGAUUGGGAGGACAAAGGGGAGAACUUUCAGUCACAGAGCAGGGAUUGCAGAGUGGAAGGAUUGAGAGGUUGAGCACCUCCCUGCGCACUUAUUCAUUACCUGCCAUUCAAUAGUC